CCAGGGGGCCGGCCUAUUACAUGCAAGUCGAGCGAACUGACGAGGAGCUUGCUCCUUUGACGUUAGCGGCGGACGGGUGAGUAACACGUGGGUAACCUACCUAUAAGACUGGAAUAACUCCGGGAAACCGGGGCUAAUGCCGGAUAACAUGUUGAACCGCAUGGUUCAACAUUGAAAGGCGGUUUUGCUGUCACUUAUAGAUGGACCUGCGCCGUAUUAGCUAGUUGGUGAGGUAAUGGCUUACCAAGGCGACGAUACGUAGCCGACCUGAGAGGGUGAUCGGCCACACUGGAACUGAGACACGGUCCAGACUCCUACGGGAGGCAGCAGUAGGGAAUCUUCCGCAAUGGACGAAAGUCUGACGGAGCAACGCCGCGUGAGUGAUGAAGGUUUUCGGAUCGUAAAGCUCUGUUAUUAGGGAAGAACAAGUGCGUAGGUAACUAUGCGCACCUUGACGGUACCUAAUCAGAAAGCCACGGCUAACUACGUGCCAGCAGCCGCGGUAAUACGUAGGUGGCAAGCGUUAUCCGGAAUUAUUGGGCGUAAAGCGCGCGUAGGCGGUUUCUUAAGUCUGAUGUGAAAGCCCACGGCUCAACCGUGGAUGGUCAUUGGAAACUGGGGAACUUGAGUGCAGAAGAGGAAAGUGGAAUUCCAUGUGUAGCGGUGAAAUGCGCAGAGAUAUGGAGGAACACCAGUGGCGAAGGCGACUUUCUGGUCUGUAACUGACGCUGAUGUGCGAAAGCGUGGGGAUCAAACAGGAUUAGAUACCCUGGUAGUCCACGCCGUAAACGAUGAGUGCUAAGUGUUAGGGGGUUUCCGCCCCUUAGUGCUGCAGCUAACGCAUUAAGCACUCCGCCUGGGGAGUACGAUCGCAAGAUUGAAACUCAAGGAUUUGACGGGGACCCGCACAAGCGUUGGAGCAUGUGGUUUAUUUCGAAGCAACGCGAAGAACUUAACCAAAUCUUGACAUCCUUUGACCGCUCUAGAGAUAGAGUUUUCCCCUUCGGGGGACAAAGUG
rnacentral:rRNA from 1 species